GGGCCCUCGGUGGGCAAAAAAAUCACGAAAAAAUGAAACUUACCGGCGGCGGUGCUCUCGGGUGCAGCGGCUCCUCCGGCAUGAGUCGCAUUUUGAUGUUUGGCUCUGAUCAACCUGUAGAGAAAAGAACGGUGAUCACAGUGGUAUAAAAUUUGCAUCGAACGGAGGCCAGGAAGGGCCUCAUCGGAGGCAAAAACAGAGGGGGGCGCGGUGGCGCCGCUGGACUUCGGCUGGGUUUUUCGGCCGUUUGACCGGUGGUUUGGCUCCGGUUUGGCCAUAGGCGGACUCAGCAUCGAAAAACGAGCCAGGAGGAGAAAAUUUACCUCGAUCGGCGGUCGAAAACUUCCCCGGUGCGGCAGCGGGUGGCGGCGGCCGGCUCCUCCGCGUCUGGUUCUUCUUCUCCGGCGAGGCACUGGCGGCUAGCGUUUUGUGGUCAGGUGUGGGUGGGGUUAUUUAUACCCUUUGCCUUUUGAUCUCAACCGUCCAUCAAGAUUAGAUCUGAACCGUUCGAUCGCGAUUUAAUUGAAAUUAAAUCUGGACCGUCCAUCACGAUGCAAUCUGGACGGUCCGUACGCGUGAAUCUGGGCCGUCCGUGCGCAUGUUUGAUCUGGACCGUCCGUGCGCACGUUUGAUCUGGGCCGUCCGUGCGCACAGGAACGGAUCUGGGCCGUCCGAUCGUG
rnacentral:lncRNA from 1 species